AUGUUGCAGCCCCUUCCUCUGCCAUUCCCGUGGCUCACCCUCCCAGACGGUACUUUCCUCAGCAUUCCAGGCAGUGAAAUUCACCGCAUACCUGUACCAGAAGGUGCUUGUUGCCAAGGCUCCAUUGACAACUGGCUAUUCCUCAUUGACAAUGGUAAUGUGUGCUCAUUGAUGAAUCCUUUCUCCAAGACUGCAUUAGAGCUUCCUAAUCUAGUGGCUGUUUGGGAGCGUGAGAUACGUUACCACUCUGACCGUAAACCAAUUUUCUAUAAGUUGGUGGUGCCCUCUCCCCUGGACUCAUCACCUCAUUCCCCUGUCGUUGCACUAAUCAUGGACGAUGGUUGUUUCCAUACACUCUGUAUUAGCCAGCCACCGAUCGCCACUGCCUCGCUCAGAGAUAAUAAGGAUCCACGACUGUUCCUCAGUGAUGUUGUAUUCUUCAACGGGAAGUUGUACGCAUGGGGUCGCUUCGGCCAGCUAUUCAUCGUUGAUUUGGAUAAUGACCGUACCAUUUCAUCCAUCAGCUGCAUAAUUGACUCUUUGGGUGACAUAGGUGGAACACCUCAAGAUUUGUCCAUAGCAGAGGAGUACAUGGUCUUUGAGGCAGACCUGCACACCAGCCCCGGUCGAUGGAGAAAGGCCACUGAGUUGGGUGGCCAUGCGCUCUUUCUUGGCCAACAUGGCUCCAAGUGCCUGCCUGCUGUGGAAUGCAGUGGAUACCAUGAGGAUUGCAUCUACUUCAUGUGUGACUAUGUCUGGCCGACCUCUUCUGCGAAUCCUCUUUGCGACUCUGGAGUACACUCUCCUCCUGAAGGACGUGAACUGACCUCUUCAUUGGCCCAUUGGUGGCUACCAUGGCCCUCAGGCAAGAAAAUUCUCAACAAAUCUGUUCAAGCUUACGGGCCAUACUACUGCGCCGCCGGCGCCGACAAGGCGCUCGGGCGCGACAUCGUGGACGCACACUACAAGGCCUACCUCUACGCCGGGAUCAACAUCAGCGGUAUCAACAGGGAGGUCAUGCCCGGCCAGUGGGAGUUCCAAGUCGGGCCAUCCCAACCAGCACCAGUUUCUGUUGCUGCUACCGCCGGCGAUGCGGAGGAGUCUGCGGCGAUGGCUGGGGCGCAGUCUGCGAUGACCCCAGUGCCUGCGAAUGUCAUCCCUCGCCCAGUCAGUUCGGGAUCCUGCCGGAUCCAUGCGCACCGGUGCUCAUGCGGGACGGUAGAUGCAGCAGGGGCGCGUUGGAAGGUGGGCGGCGACGGCGACGUCAGAGUUGGUGGUGAAGGGUUCGCGCUGGGUGGUGGAGAUGGUGGCGGGGGCUGGGGGUUCUGGGGCGGCACCGGCGAGCUGGUGUGGGUGGGCGACGGUGAAUCCGAAUCGGUGGUUUCUUGGGGCGGCGGCGCCUUGGGUUGUCGGGGCGGCGGCGGCGGCGCGCGAGGUUAG
rnacentral:rRNA from 1 species